rnacentral:rRNA from 1 species
UAGGGAAUCUUCCGCAAUGGACGCAAGUCUGACGGAGCAACGCCGCGUGAGUGAAGAAGGAUCUCGGUACGUAAAACUCUGUUGUUAGAGAAGAACAGCGCAUAGAGUAACUGUUAUGCGUGUGACGGUAUCUAACCAGAAAGCCACGGCUAACUACGUGCCAGCAGCCGCGGUAAUACGUAGGUGGCAAGCGUUGUCCGGAUUUAUUGGGCGUAAAGCGAGCGCAGGCGGUCAAUUAAGUCUGAUGUGAAAGCCCCCGGCUCAACCGGGGAGGGUCAUUGGAAACUGGUUGACUUGAGUGCAGAAGAGGAGAGUGGAAUUCCAUGUGUAGCGGUGAAAUGCGUAGAUAUAUGGAGGAACACCAGUGGCGAAGGCGACUCUCUGGUCUGUAACUGACGCUGAGGCUCGAAAGCGUGGGUAGCAAACAGG